rnacentral:tRNA from 1 species
GCCGGGAUGGCGGAACUGGCAGACGCGCCGGUCUCAAAAACCGGUGGCCGCAAGGCCAUGUGGGUUCGACUCCCACUCCCGGCA